GACGAACGCUGGCGGCGUGCUUAACACAUGCAAGUCGAACGGUAAGGCCCUUCGGGGUACACGAGUGGCGAACGGGUGAGUAACACGUGGGUGAUCUGCCCUGCACUUCGGGAUAAGCCCGGGAAACUGGGUCUAAUACCGGAUAGGACUCCGGAGUGCAUGGUCUGGGGUGGAAAGCUUUUGCGGGGUGGGAUGGGCCCGCGGCCUAUCAGGUUGUUGGGGGGGUGAUGGGCUGCCAAGGCGACGACGGUAGCCGGCCAGAGAGGGUGACCGGCCAAACUGGGACUGAGAUACGGCCCAGACUCCUACGGGAGGCAGCAGUGGGGAAUAUUGCACAAUGGGCGCAAGCCUGAUGCAGCGACGCCGCGUGGGGGAUGACGGCCUUCGGGUUGUAAACCUCUUUCAGCAUCGACGAAGCGAAAGUGACGGUAGGUGCAGAAGAAGGACCGGCCAACUACGUGCCAGCCGCCGCAGUAA
rnacentral:rRNA from 1 species